UUGAGCCGGAUGCGGGGAUAACCCGCACGUCCGGUUCUGAGGGGGCCGGGGGGCGGCAACGCACCCCGGCUACCCGAC
rnacentral:ncRNA from 2 species